GCCCCUCGGUGGUGCAGUGGUUAGUACGGUCCCCGGAAAGGGUAAGAGGCGGGUUCAACUCCCGCCCGAGGCU